GUUAGGAAUAUUGGACAAUGGGCGCAAGCCUGAUCCAGCCAUGCCGCGUGAGUGAUGAAGGCCUUCGGGUUGUAAAGCUCUUUAGUCCACGAAUAUAAUGACUGUAGUGGAAGAAUAAGACCCGGCUAACUUCGUGCCAGCAGCCGCGGUAAUACGAAGGGGGCGAGCGUUAUUCGGAAUCACUGGGCGUAAAGCGUGCGUAGGCUGUUUUGUAAGUCAGAAGUGAAAGCCCAGGGCUUAACCCUGGAAUUGCUUUUGAAACUACAAGACUCGAAUUCGGGAGAGGAUAGCGGAAUUGUCAGUGUAGCAGUGAAAUGCGUAGAUAUUGACAGGAACACCAGUGGCGCAAGCGGCUAUCUGGACCGAUAUUGACGCUGAGGCACGAAAGCGUGGGGAGCAAACAGGAUUAGAAACCCCGGUAGUCC
rnacentral:rRNA from 1 species